AGAGGGGGCAAGCGUUGCUCGGAAUUACUGGGCGUAAAGGGCGCGUAGGCGGGAUGGCAAGUCGGUCGUGAAAUCCCUCGGCUCAACUGAGGAUCGUCGACCGAUACUGCCGUUCUUGAGGAUUGCAGAGGAGACUGGAAUUCCCGGUGUGGCGGUGAAAUGUGUAGAGAUCGGGAGGAACACCGGUGGCGAAGGCGGGUCUCUGGGCAAUUCCUGACGCUGAGGCGCGAAAGCGUGGGGAGCAAACGGGAUUAGAUGCCCCGGUAGUCCACGCUGUAAACGAUGACGACUAGGUGUGGGGGGGUUCAGUCCCUUCCGUGCCGCAGCUAACGCAUUAAGUCGUCCGCCUGGGGAGUACGGCCGCAAGGUG
rnacentral:rRNA from 1 species